GCCUCGGUGAUGUAGUGGUAGCACGCACCCCUCGAAUGGGUGAAGCACGUGUUCAACUCCCGCCUGAAGUC